rnacentral:lncRNA from 1 species
ACGCGCGCGCCUCCCUUGCUCCCCAGCGCUCACGCUCGCGCGCAGUUCCCUCUCGCCGGCUAGCCUUCAGCCGCCGACGUCUCGGCCCCUCAGAAAGCCGGUCGCGCCAUGUCUUCGCCUCCCGAGGGAAAGCUAGAGACGAAAGCAGGACACCCGCCCGCCGGUGGAUUUGCUUUCCUUUGAGUCACAUUUCAAUGGCUCUUCUCUACUGGGACAAGAACAAAGGAAGCUUCAGCUUAGAAGUCCUGGACAGUGCUGGGGGGUGUGCAAGGCCGCACCCUGGCUCAGGGCGCUUGUACAGUCUGGGCAGACCCUUCUUGUGCCCCUGCCAGGCUUGCAGCUGGGGGGCUUUCCAGCCUGCUGUGCAGUGUGGGUCCAGAGCAAGCUGGCACCCCAACAUCUGAGGAGAGGCCCGGCUGACCCAGGGAAUAUGUCAUCAAUUGCUUCCUCCACCCCCUUGGCCCCUUGGGCAGGAAGCUGCUCUGAAGAGCUUUCUACAUCAAAGGCACUUUCUUCCUGGCCUUGAACUUGCCCACAGGCUGUCACUUGUGUCUCUGAGGUGCAGUCAUGCUGUUUCCUGGAAGGUUCAAGUGACGAAAGGCCUGUGGGCUGUGAUUAAGGGCGCAGGCUACCGGGGUCAGAACUUGCUGGCUGUGAUUCCAGGGCCCCUGGCUGCCCCUCCUGGGCUGGGGCGGGGAGGGGUUCUGCAUCCCAGGGUUGCUGUAAAGGGAGGGAGCUCACAGCCAGUGCUUAGAACAGUGCCUGGUGCAGGGUGACAUGAAGAGCAGCCAGGUGGAGGGGCUAUCCAGGAUCUGCUGUUCUCCAGAAGCUUUCUUAGGUGGUGAGGCACUAACGACAGGCCUGGAGGUGGUCAGCUGAGCAGGACAGUGGAGCCUCACAUGGGCAGGCUCUUUGCAGAGUGUGUCACUUACUCCUCCACAGCCCAGUACACAGGCCCUGCCACCCCUACUCUGCCCUGGAGAGACUGAGUGAAAGCUGGUGGGAUGCGAAUUGUGCAGAAACAUCCGCACUCUGGAGAUGCCAAGGAAGAGAAGGACAAGGAUGACCAGGAGUGGGAAAGCCCCAGGUGGGAGAGUUCUGGGGGGUCUCAGAUGCAGUUAAACAUUAACGUUUGUUCUCCACUCUGUGCUUGGAGAACCCCUAGGCUGUGUGGGGCCCUGUGCUGUGUGCUUUUCUUUUCCUGGUCAGUGAGGUGGGGGUUCUGUUCCCAGGAGGGGAAAGAUACAGCAUCUAGGACAUGCCCCCCGCCCUGACUGAAUCUGAGCAGAUGCAUCAGUCUGGGCAGAAGCCUCGGUAUUGCCAUCACCCACAGACCUUCGGAAAUGCCCUGUCUGUCUAAUCUUGGGGCUGAGCCUGGCAUUCUGUGCAUCAGGGCAGAGAACUACUGAUUGAAAGAAUGUUCACAAGCAUUAGGGCUUUGCCAGUCUCAGCCGAACCUAGAACCACUGAGGCCAUGGUGUCGAGGUCACACAGAGUGAGCAAGUGUCCUGAAAUGACCUCUCUGCCCCCAGCUUCCUGGGUCCCCAUAGCAUGUCUCCUGCAACACCACCAUCUCCGUUUUUACCUACCUCGGAGGUUCUGAUGUCAAGUUUGGUCCAAGGACAUCGAUUCAAGUCCAUUCCCUCCCACCUCAUAAUAUACAAACAUGCGGUCCCAGGGUCCACCCAGCCCCCAAGCUUGGCCAUGUAGAGGGAAAACGGACGCUAAACCUUCCACCUUAGAACUCACCCCACGAGUCUCUGGCAGACUCGUGGAAAACAGCCAGCUUGUGUUUCUGUAUUCAUUCCAAUGGUCCUGAAUCACGAGUGGAACAUCCCCAGGUUGACACAGGGAGACUGAAGGGCACGUUUCAGUUUUGCCUGUCAAACAGGAGUUUAAAACCAAGUCUGGGGUCCAGAGCAGGCCUGGCUUCCGGAAGAGAGUAGUUCCUGGCUGCAGGCACCCCCUAGGAAGGACCCCACAUUGCUUUUACCUAUGUGCUGCACCCUUGCAUGUUUUUGUAAAACCUCAUGUGGGAUGACUUACAGGGCUGUCCCUUGACUGGAGGACAGAUGUACAACAAAGUUUCUGAGUGAUUAUUGCCCAUUUUAACUCCGGUUCUCAGCAGCUUGAAGGUUCGGCCCAAGUUCUGGUUUUAUAAAAGAAGAAGGCAGUUGAAGGAAAAUUCGAGGAUUGUCUUUCUUACCGGCUCUUCACAAAGCUGUGUUUGGUCCCUAACAGUGUCAGGCAUUCUUCUACAGGUUUACUUCCUGUGUUUGGAAACCUCUGGGCCUCAUAGCAGAAUCUAGAAAUUCCGAUGUUUUAGGAGAGUAAGGAGGAUCUAAGAGAAUAGACUGUCCACAUUCCAGGCAGCACCCAAAGGGGGUUGCAGGCAGCCCCUUGUUAAUCUGCAAAUGGUGUUCACAGCAGCAGAAAUGCAUUUUAAAAACUUUCAGGAGUUCCUGUCUUGGCUCAGAGGAAGCAAAUCUGGACUAGCACCCAUGAUCACGCAAGUUCCAUCCCUGGCCUUGCUCUUGAGCUGUGGUGGACUCGGCUCAGAUCUCGUGUUGCUGUGGCUGUGGUGUAGACCAGCAGCUGCAGCUCCGAUUCAACCUCUAGUCUGGGAACCUCCGUAUGCUGUGGGUACAGCCCUAAAAAGACAAAACAAAAGUCAGAUUUGGAUCAGUUCAGGUUAAGUUUUGCCUGCAUCAGAGUUACAUUAGAACUUUCAGUGUUUAACCCGUUUCUGGAUGUGGAGCUGAGGAGAAGAACCUGUGGCCUGUUGUCAUUUCUCCCCCAGGAGACCUGCAAUGUCGUUUCCCUUCAUUUCCACCAGUUCCCUUAGAAGGAAGAAAGACGAUGAGGCAGAAAGCUGUGCCUAGAGAAAAAAGAAAAUCCUGGCACAUUAAUGAGACAUGCCUCUCUGUGUGAGUUUAAGUGGAAUAAGGGACAAAUAGCUAUUUCCCUGUGUAUCACAGUGUCAGUAUGGUGACAGAGGGUAAUUCAUUAGCGUGUUUAGAAAUAGGGACAGAACAGCCCAUUAGUUUUCUUUCUUUUGAUUUUUUUCCUCACGAGGUGAAAUACAGCGUUUAUUGAAGUUGUGCAAUUUAAAUAAAUAUGCCAGAGGAUGAAUUAUUGCUAGAGAGAGGAGGGAGCUCCCAGCACUCCAGGUUUUAGCAUCUCAUCCACCGUAAAGGUUUGGUUGCUCCGGAAUUAAGUAUUUUGAAGCAAGCUGACCACAGGGCAGGGUUUGCCCAUGAGCAAGGGUACAUUUGUUCCCUGCGGUCAAAUCGUUAUACUGGGUUUCUUGUGUGUUAACUCUUGUCCUCUGGACUUUGGCUUCUCUCUUUACUGCUGUGGGUACAACCACCGACACACUGUUGACAGAUGGGGUAAGCCUCUGUGCGCGUUCAAGCUGUCAGCAUAUGCUGCUAGUACAACUCCCUCCGAACCCCUGCACCAGACCUGGUACCCCGUGUAGUAGUUCACUUCCAUCACCGGGCACUCCCCAGUUUUCUGGUGGGCUAAUAGAAUAAUCAUAGUUAAAAAUUAUCAUUGAUGAUGUUACAGAGUGCCACGUGCCUGGCCCACUUCCAAGUGCUCCGCCUGUAUUGAUUCAUUCAAUCCCUGAAACUACUCUAUUCUCAUCCCCAAUUUGAGAGUCGGUUAUUGAUUAUUAUCCUCAUUCCAGAUUACUCCCACUUCCACAGCUCAGGUUAAUGACUUUUCCAAGGGCAGACAGCCAAUGAGUGGCAGAGCCAGCCUUCCAGACUGGGUCUGGAGUGCCCACUUGUAGGCCCUGGGAUGGGUAUACCAACUGAGCACCUGUUUGUGCUUGGCAUUUAAGUGCUUCACAUCGGGUUUCAUGCUUAUACCACCUAAAAGUUGGUAUUACUCCCCCCAUUUACAUAGCUGAAGAAACCAAGGCUCAGUGAGGUUGUCUGGCCCAAUGAUGUGUAGCCAGGGAGUGGCCUGGCCAGGAUUCAGCCCUGACUCUGUCUUGACUUGGAAGCCUGCAGCACCCCACUGAAUUGACAAAAUAUUUUUAGGAUCAACAUAGACUGUAAAUCUGGAUCCCUCUAGACAAUAAACUUACUGAUUCUGGGGUUGCCCAGAACGUUUUCCAUAUUCCUCAAGCCUAUAAUCCUCUCCAUGCAGCUCACAGUCAGAAAAUGGCCUAAUUAUAAGCUUCCAACAAGGUGUCAGGGCACUGGGCUGGCUUUCCUUUACAUGUGGAAAGGGCUCUUUAUUUCCAGAAUUUGUCAAACAUUUAAUAUUUUACAUUAAUUUCCCUUGGAAAUGUUAUGGUGCGUGACUUUCACAUUACGCUAAUCCUGAAGUUUUAUAUAUUUUCAUGUUUUGAUCCAAGUGUUCUCCAAAUAUGAAAAUAAACACAUUGUUUCAGAUGCCAGUUUCCUUUUCAGAUCUGCACUUGCAAAACUCUUUGCUUUCCUUGCCAGAUAUUUAAAAUCGGCUUUGCAUUUACUGACUCAUCUCUAGUGGCUUCCUUCCCCAAUCAGAAAAUCAAGCACUGGAGUUCCUGUCGUGGCGCAGUGGUUAACAAAUCUGACUAGGAACCAUGAGGUUGCAGGUUUGAUCCCUUGCCUUGCUCAGUGGGUUAAGGAUCUGGCAUUGCUGUGAGCUGUGAUGUAGGUCGAAGAGGCGGCUCGGAUCUCGCGUUGUUGUGGCUCUGGCAUAGGCAGGUGGCUACAGCUCCAAUUCGAUCCCUAGCCUGGGAACCUCCAUAUGCCGCAGGAAGCGGCCCUAGAAAAAGCAAAAAGACAAAAAAAAAAAAAAAAAAA